rnacentral:lncRNA from 1 species
CCAAAUUUAUAUACUUAAGGUCAAUUUUAAAAGCUGCACUGGUUUUACAAACCAUAUGUUAAUAAACAUUUUUGACUUUCUCUUUCUUAUUAUAUAAUGUCUAUAACAAACAAAAUUAAAUCAACUCCAUGGUUAAAGUUACUUCAAUUACUGGCACUAACACCUUGCUUUUUAAACUAUAGUUUAAUUUGUGGAUACAUGUAUUUACAUCCAUGAUAAAUAAGCAGAAAUAAAUAACAGUUAGUCUGUAUUGUUUUAAAUUAAAUUCAGUUUGAUGAUUACCAACUGAUCAAAAUAAAAUGUACAUGUAUGGUGUAUUUAACAUCCUGUUAGUAAUAUGAAAUCUUUCAUUCAAAGUGUAUUUUGGCAUUUGCAGUUCAUGGUAAGACAAGGUUUUGUACAGACAAGAAUAAUCAAAAUAAUUUAAAUUAAGGUGGUACCCAACACUUUCACUAAAAUUAAUUUGGCUCGUUUAAUUUUCUUUAAAUUUUGACUAAGUAUUUACUUUGACCCUUUGACAAAAAUAUAAAAAAAAUUAAAAAUUUGAACCAACCGUUUUAUCAGAAAAAUUACACUGGUUAUAUAGCAGUUUGACAAACACUUAUUUUGAUCAUUGAGAAGCUUAAUAUUCCCUUAACAACACAACAUAAUUAAGACGUUUAGCUGAUUUUACAGAGUUAUCUCCCUGUAGUGUAAGGUACCACCUUAAACCUACAAUACCAUAUAAAUACCACAUCAAGAUACUAUUCAGAUUUUCAUGUUUUAAAACAUCGUAUUCAUACUUUCAAAGAGCAAACAAAGUACUGUUAUCAAAAACACCAAAACCACCUUCUGUGAUUUCAUCCAAAUUUCAAUAAAUAACUAGUUGUUAAUUUUUUU